UACGGAGGGUGCGAGCGUUAAUCGGAAUUACUGGGCGUAAAGAGUGCGUAGGUGGUCAUUUAAGUUAUCUGUAAAAUCCCCGGGCUUAACCUGGGAAGGCCAGAUAAUACUGAAAGACUCGAGUAUUGGAGAGGGUAGUGGAAUUUCCGGUGUAGCGGUGAAAUGCGUAGAGAUCGGAAGGAACACCGAUGGCGAAGGCGGGUGCCUGGCCAAAUACUGACACUGAGGCACGAAAGCGUGGGGAGCAAACAGG
rnacentral:rRNA from 1 species